CCAGACUCCUACGGGAGGCAGCAGUGAGGAAUAUUGGUCAAUGGCCGGAAGGCUGAACCAGCCAAGCCGCGUGAAGGACGAAGGUGCCAAGCAUUGUAAACUUCUUUUGUCAAGGGACAAAAUCAGGCUCGAGAGCCUGACCGAGGGUACUUGAAGAAAAAGCAUCGGCUAACUCCGUGCCAGCAGCCGCGGUAAUACGGAGGAUGCGAGCGUUAUCCGGAUUUAUUGGGUUUAAAGGGUGCGUAGGCGGACUUUUAAGUCAGGGGUAAACGCCCGGGGCUCACCCCCGGCGAGCCGUUGAAACUGGCUGUCUUGAGAUGUCGAGAGGUAUGCGGAAUGCGCAGUGUAGCGGUGAAAUGCUUAGAUAUUGCGCAGAACUCCGAUUGCGAAGGCAGCUUACUAAACUGUGACUGACAUUGAUGCUCGAAAGUGUGGGUAUCAAACAGGAUUAGAUACCCUUGUAC
rnacentral:rRNA from 1 species